GAUGAACGCUGGCGGCGUGCCUAAUACAUGCAAGUCGAGCGAACAGACGGGGAGCUUGCUCCUCUGACGUUAGCGGCGGACGGGUGAGUAACACGUGGAUAACCUACCUAUAAGACUGGGAUAACUUCGGGAAACCGGAGCUAAUACCGGAUAAUAUAUUGAACCGCAUGGUUCAAUAGUGAAAGACGGUUUUGCUGUCACUUAUAGAUGGAUCCGCGCCGCAUUAGCUAGUUGGUAAGGUAACGGCUUACCAAGGCAACGAUGCGUAGCCGACCUGAGAGGGUGAUCGGCCACACUGGAACUGAGACACGGUCCAGACUCCUACGGGAGGCAGCAGUAGGGAAUCUUCCGCAAUGGGCGAAAGCCUGACGGAGCAACGCCGCGUGAGUGAUGAAGGUCUUCGGAGCGUAAAACUCUGUUAUUAGGGAAGAACAAAUGUGUAAGUAACUAUGCACGUCUUGACGGUACCUAAUCAGAAAGCCACGGCUAACUACGUG
rnacentral:rRNA from 1 species